GCGCAGAGACUACAGAGAGAAAAUUUCUCUGGAUAAAGUAACACAAGUCAUUUCCAAAGACUGUUGAUUUAAAGAUGAUGAUUCACAUUCAGCUUUCAGUAAAGCCUCUUCCUGAGUUGUUUUGCAUCGCUGGCAUGGUUUUCCCAGGCACAGCCUUCACAUACGGCCUGCAUGGUUAUUGGAAGGUUCCGGGCCUCAACAUCCCCAUGGUCAUACCCAGCCUCACCACCCUGCAGGAGGGCGUUCUCAGCCAGGGGAAAGCCAAGUGGAGUUUAACCCUUAGAUGCAUAAUUGGUUAAAAAAUGACCCGGUGAGGUUGUUUUCUUGAAAUAUCUUCGUAAUGAAAAAUUGUUAUCAUUUCAUAUUCCAGGUAUUCCUCAAAAAACAUGUUUUUGAUAUGAUGCCAUUUACAUUUUUAACUUACCUUUUAUACAUUUUAAGAAAUUGUAGUUUUUGUAUUACUACCCCAAGCUUCCAUAAGUGGGUCAAAAAUGACCCGCAUGCAUUUUCUAUGGAAUCCAAUGGGAACCUUUGAUUCUUAUCAACUGUGGCUGUCAGGAAUAAAUUAACUGACAGACUAUAUCAGAAGUGUCACCCCUCAGGAAGAUUAUUUUACACAGCAAGAGCUGAUACGUGUGUCAUGGCUGCUAGAUACACAGCUGAAAUGGUCCUACAGAUACUGGAUGAUGGAGAGGCAGUAACAGGGUUGGACUCCGAGUCUGAAAUUUCUGAUGAUGACGACCCAGACUAUUGUCCAGGUGGCAGUGGCAGUCGUCCACCUGGAAAUCCAACUGAACAGGAUCAAUCUGACUCAGAAGAUUCCUCUUCUGUGUCCUCUGCAGAAGAAAGUGUCCAAAUCAUGUCCAACAGAAUGAGUCGGAAGGGCUCUUACUGGAGCGAGUUACCUCCCACCCAGGGCAGAACACAGAGCCACAACAUCCUCAAAAGAUGCAUGGGAGCUCUUUAUCACUGAUGAUAUAAUACAAGAGGUGAUGACGUGCACAAACUUGGAAGGACGGAGACUAGCAACAGCUAGAGGAAAAGAAUGGAAAAAUGUCACCAAAGAUGAAUUCAUGGCCUUCAUUGGAUUGACCCUGCUUGCAGAAAGUGAGAAGAACUGGGAUGUAUCAGUCCGUGAGCUGUUUGGGAGUCCUCUACAUAAUCCCAUGUACAAUGCCACUAUGGCUGUUGGAAGAUUUGAAGACAUUCGCCGUACCUUGCACUUCGAUGAUAAGAGGACCAGAGCCAACUGGAAACAGACCAUAUGGCAGCCUUCCACUAUGUAUGGGACCUGUUCCUGGUCAACUGCAGACAGCGAUUCAUCCCCAGUGAUUGUGUCACUGUGGACAAACAGCUUGUGCCAUUCAGGGGUAGGUGCAAGUUUCUACAGUACAUGCCAAGCAAGCCUGCCAAGUACGGCCUAAAGAUCUUCUGGGUUUGUGAUGCACGCAUCCCCUAUGCAAUAGAUGGUAUAGUUUACACAGGGCGACAACCAGGGGAAGAAGUUCAGAAGAAUCUGGGGGAAAACAUUGUCCAGCAGUUGUAUAGUAGAUUUAGAAACACAGGUCGCAACAUCACCGUGGAUAACUUUUUCACCAGUGUGCCUCUUGCGCAGCAUCUCCUGGAGAAGGAUCUCACUAUUGUGGGCUUAUGUAUUCUCUACGUCAGAACAAGCCAGACAUCCCUCUUUGGAUGAAGCCUUCCAAGUCCAGGGAAGUUCACAGCACAGAGUUUGGAUUCAACGACAACCUUACCAUGGUCAGCUACGUCAGAAAGAAAGGAAAAGCUGUUGUGCUCCUGAGCACGAUGCACCACGACAAAGUAGUGGAUGAAAAUAGCAGAAAGAAAAAACCAGAAGUGAUCACAUUUUACAACAAGACGAAAGGAGGUGUAGACACCACUGACCAGAUGGUUGACACAGAGGUGGCCCAUGGUGCUGUGGUACAACAUAAUUGACAUCGCCACCCUGAAUGCCUACACCUUUUUCCAGCUCAGCACCCAGAAUUCAAGAUCGGCAUCACCAAUGCAUGACGGCUCUUCCUCAAAGAGCUGUCAAAGGAGCUUGUCACACCACACAUGAGGAGUCAACUGGAAGGCUGCCCCCAACUGCAAGCCCCGAUUAUUGAAGCAAUGGAAAGGUGUGGGGUGACAAAAGCCACAACCCAGCCACAGGAAAGAAGCAGAGUCAACAAUAGGUGUGGGAAAUGCAAUGUACCUGUGUGUAAUGAUCACAGCCAGAAACAGGUAGUUUGUCUGAACUGCAUACAGUGAUGAGACAAGAAGGCAAAACAGGGAAAAGAGAGAGGAACUGUCAAUGACUGGACAGUUACACACACACAUACACACAAACACACACACACACAC